AUUGAACGCUGGCGGCAGGCCUAACACAUGCAAGUCGAACGAGUGGCGGACGGGUGAGUAAUGUCGGGGCAACUGCCCGAUGGAGGGGGAUAACUGCUGGAAACGGUAGCUAAUACCGCAUACCACGGGAUCUGGCCAGAUGGGAUUAGCUAGUAGGUGGGGUAACGGCUCACCUAGGCGACGAUGCCUAGCUGGGCUGAGAGGCUGACCGGCCACACUGGAACUGAGACACGGUCCAGACUCCUACGGGAGGCAGCAGUGGGGAAUAUUCGACAAUGGGCGCAAGCCUGAUCCAGCCACGCCGCGUGUAUGAAGAAGGCUUUCGGGUUGUAAAGUACUUUCAUCGGGGAGGCGUUACUCGCAGAAGAAGCCCCGGCUAACUACGUGCCAGCAGCCGCGGUAAUUC
rnacentral:rRNA from 1 species